rnacentral:rRNA from 1 species
UCGUAACAAGGUCUCCGUUGGUGAACCAGCGGAGGGAUCAUUACCGAGUUUACAACUCCCAAACCCCUGUGAACAUACCACUUGUUGCCUCGGCGGAUCAGCCCGCUCCCGGUAAAACGGGACGGCCCGCCAGAGGACCCCUAAAACUCUGUUUCUAUAUGUAACUUCUGAGUAAAACCAUAAAUAAAUCAAAACUUUCAACAACGGAUCUCUUGGUUCUGGCAUCGAUGAAGAACGCAGCAAAAUGCGAUAAGUAAUGUGAAUUGCAGAAUUCAGUGAAUCAUCGAAUCUUUGAACGCACAUUGCGCCCGCCAGUAUUCUGGCGGGCAUGCCUGUUCGAGCGUCAUUUCAACCCUCAAGCACAGCUUGGUGUUGGGACUCGCGUUAAUUCGCGUUCCUCAAAUUGAUUGGCGGUCACGUCGAGCUUCCAUAGCGUAGUAGUAAAACCCUCGUUACUGGUAAUCGUCGCGGCCACGCCGUUAAACCCCAACUUCUGAAUGUUGACCUCGGAUCAGGUAGGAAUACCCGCUGAACUUAAGCAUAUCAAUAA